ACUCUAAAUAUUUAUACUAGUUUUUAACACAAAGUAAAUUUUGCACUCACAUUACUUCCUUCUUUUUGAUUUUCUUUGAACAAAAACAAAACAACACAUAAAACAGUAAAUGAAAAUAUUACGUAGAAACGAUGGAAACAUGGAACGUAGAAGGGAUCCGUAUGUAUAUAUGCAUCGGAUGUAGUACCUCUACUAAAGGGCUCUUACACACGAACAUACUUCUCAAAGUGGAAGCGAAUUUUUUUAAUAGGACAACAUAUUGGGUCUCCAUCUACAUUCCUCAUCCUGAAAUAAUUCGCGGACAAUGGAACAUAAACAACAAACGGCUAAAGGGUAGAGUUGCCCAACAGUAAGGAACGAUGCUGCAGAGAGGCAAGGCAGUGGGACACCGUGGUGGUGAUGACAUCCGAUGGAUCUUGACGGAACGUGUCCCGUGGUCGCAGACAGCGGAGCGACUGGUAGCCUUGUACUCAGAUCCGAAAAUGUAAAAUGAAAACUGCAUGACGUAAGGUUACACUGCUCAGGCAGCAAAUUUGCUUUGUUUAUUUUGAUAUUAAUUGUGAAAAGUGAAUAAAAGUUAAUAAAACACUGAAUAAUCGAGGAGAACGCUGUGAAACGCGUUUUUACGCA